rfam:Canis lupus familiaris chromosome 23, whole genome shotgun sequence.
GCACUUAUUUCAGCAGCAUAUGGGCAAGAUUGGAAUGACACAGGCAUUAGCACGGCUUCUGUGUAAGAACGACACACAAAUUUGUGAAGCCCUUUAUAUUUUU